rnacentral:tRNA from 1 species
UCCCAGGUGACUCAGUUGUAAAGAAACUGCCUGCCAAGCAGGAGACCCAGGUUUGAUCCCUGGGUAGGGAA